rnacentral:rRNA from 1 species
UGCCAGCCGCCGCGGUAAGACGUAGGGACCGAGCGUUAUCCGGAUUUAUUGGGCGUUAAGAGCUCGUAGGCGGUUGCGUAAGUCAGAUGUGAAAACUCAGGGCUUAACCCUGAGACGCCAUCUGAUACUGCGCUGACUUGAAUCCAGUAGGGGAGUGUGGAACUCCAAGUGUAGAGGUGAAAUUCGUAGAUAUUUGGAAGAACACCAGUGGCGAAGGCGGCUCACUGGCUCGAUACUGACGCUGAGGUGCGAAAGCGUGGGGAGCAAACAGGAUUAGAUA